GGAGCAGUUGAUAGCUCGCUGGUAGUGUGCAUGCUUUGUGAGUACGACGUCCUGGGUUUAAACCCCAGCUGCUCCC